ACUUAUUUGCGAGGGACACUGGCUGGGAGACGGUUCUCUGUUCUCCCAAGUCCUUACACUUUUUCAUCAUGAGGAAGAUCUCGAUUUUCCUCACCUUCAGCAUCUCGAUGGAACUGUCUCUUUCUUCCCCGCGUCCGAAUGCUGCCUUCUUUGAAGGAGAGAAUGCGUUCGGCUCUGGCUUCGGGAACGCCUUUGGAGGCCAGGAAGGCGGGAAUGCUUUCGGCUCCGGCUUCGGGAACGCCUUCGGUGGACAAAAAGGCGGGAACGCAUUCGGCUCCGGCUUCGGGAACGCCUUCGGUGGACAAAAAGGUGGGAAUGCUUUCAGCUCAGGCUUCGGGAACGCCUUUGGAGGCCAGGAAGGCGGGAAUGCUUUCGGCUCCGGCUUCGGGAACGCCUUCGGUGGACAAAAAGGCGGGAACGCAUUCGGCUCCGGCUUCGGGAACGCUUUCGGUGGACAAAAAGGUGGGAAUGCUUUCAGCUCAGGCUUCGGGAACGCCUUUGGAGUACAGGAAGGCGGGAAUGCUUUCGGCUCCGGCUUUGGGAACGCCUUCGGUGGACAAAAAGGCGGGAAUGCUUUCAGCUCCGGCUUCGGGAACGCCUUCGGUGGACAGAAGGGCGGGAAUGCAUUCAACGGCGGCUUCGCUGACUCUUCAGGAGGACAGAAAGGAGGCAGUGGGUCCGGCUCGUUUUUAGGCAACAUAUUCGGACACCGCACCGCUGCCGAGGUGAAAGCAAGGCGGUUGGAAUUAGCCAAAAAAUUCAAUUGCAUUCUCAUGCCCCGACUUUGAACUUGAUCGCGUCUUUGCAAAAAUUCUCAGUGACAUUUUCUUAUGAAUGUGUGACCUGUUAAUUGCUAUGUAAUUGCUAUAAAAUUGUUAUAUAUGGUCAGGAGAUGUUUCUAUAUUCAGGAGCAACCCGAGGUGAAGGCUUAUGAAUUUGCUAAUACUCCUAAAGACUGAGUUUGUUGAUGUAUGGAGUCGGAGACCGUCACUAAUGGUCAUUCUGGUCAGGAAUGUUAGUGUUAUACUGAAAAUUACACUGAGAACACUGUACCACAACGAAACAAUCAAACUAGGUAAUGUACAUAAAAAAAAUUUCCAUAAAAAAGAAAAAUUAACAAAAAUACUUUU